AGCUCCAAAAGCGUAUAUUAAAGUUGUUGCAGUUAAAACGCUCGUAGUCGGAUUUCGGGGCGGGCUUGCCGGUCUGCCGAUGGGUAUGCACUGGCAGGCGCGUCCUUCCUUCCGGAGACUGUCCCUACUCUUAACUGAGCGGGGUCGGGAGACGGAAAGUUUACUUUGAAAAAAUCAGAGUGUUUCAAGCAGGCAGCUCGCUCUUGCAUGGAUUAGCAUGGGAUAAUGAAAUAGGACUUUGGUGCUAUUUUGUUGGUUUCGAACACCGAAGUAAUGAUUAACAGGGACAGUCAGGGGCACUCGUAUUCCGCCGAGAGAGGUGAAAUUCUCAGACCAGCGGAAGACGAACCACUGCGAAAGCAUUUGCCAGGGAUGUUUUCACUG
rnacentral:rRNA from 1 species